GACGAAUGCUGGCGGCGUGCCUAAUACAUGCAAGUAGAACGCAGUUGAGAAGGGGUGAGCAAGGCGUAGGUAAAUGCUACAUAGCGGGGGAUAACUAUUGGAAACGAUAGCAAUUACCGCAAAUUGUGAGAUGAAACUGCGUUUUAUUAGCUAGUUGGUGAGGUAAAGGCCCAACAAGGCGACGAUACAUAGCCGACCUGAGAGGUGUGUCGGCCACACCGGUACUGAGACACGGCCCAGACACCUACGGGAGGCAGCAGUAGGGAAUCUUCGGCAAUGGGCGGAAGUCUGACCGAGCAACGCCGCGGUAGUGAAGAAGGUUUUCGGAUCGUAAAGCUCUGUUGUUAAAGAAGCGGUAACUAACCAGAAAAGGACGGCUAACUACGUGCCAGCAGCCGCGGAAAUAC
rnacentral:rRNA from 1 species